GCCAACUUGCUGCCCAUAUUGAUAAAAGAAACCUCUCUGCUCGGUGUUAGACCUACCAUCUCCUGCGGAUGUGCUACCCUUCCUGAGGAUUCUGUCAUUCCACAUCUACUGAUUCCUCAAGAUUAAUUUUGGCUGUGCAUGCGUAACCCUUUGUGAACACACAGUGGGACAGUGCUAGUCGGCUGCAGGAGCGGCUGCAGGGCCAGCUGAGCUCAAUGGGGUUCACCAUCAGGGAGCUGGUGGGCCUCUUGGUCCUUCACCCGGCCCAUCAUGCCGUUCUCCCGCUUGACCCAACCUGCUACAGCUGCUCCCUGCAUCAGUUCAGCUCACAGCUCAAUCAUUAUUCCGCUGAGCUACAGGCUCGUGGUCUGUCACUCCAGUGGGUCUUUAGUGCCAGAGGAGACUACAGCAGAGCUGACAAGUCCAUCCAGAACAGCAACAUUGAUGAUGAAAGAGUGACCUGCCUCCUCAACACUCGCAUCAUGAGGUAGACCUACCAUCUCCUGCGGGUGUGCUACCCUUCCUGAGGAUUCUGUCAUUCCACAUCUACUGAUUCCUCAAGAUGAAUUUUGUGGGACAGUGCUAGUCGGCUGCAGGAGCGGCUGCAGGGCCAGCUGAGCUCAAUGGGGUGCACCAUCGGGGAGCUGGUGGGCCUCUUGGUCCCAUUAUUCCGCUGAGCUACAGGCUCAUGGUCUGUCAGUCCAGUGGGUCUUUAGUGCCAGAGCAGACUACAGCAGAGCUGCCAAGUACAUCCAGAACAGCAACAUUGAUGAUGAAAGAGUGACCUGCCUCCUCAACACUCGCAUCAUGAGGGCGGAGUGUUGUGAGGACUGCUGCCCUGAGAACACCGAGUGCAUUCUGGAAUAUGGAUUUGGCAGACGCCUUUGUCCAAAGCGACACAUAAAUACAAAACAACAUAAUAUUUAAAAUUGAACAGGUUCAUUAAUCUAACAUUAAUCAUUUCAGUAACAUUAAUCCAUAAACUAAUCAUGAUUAUUGCAGCUACUUAAAAUAGUCUUGAAUUUUGCAAUUUAGCCAUGUAUACCACUGUGUUGGUGGUAAUGUGAGCAGUGUUUUGAAUGAACUGAUCAUAAUCAUUAUUUCAGUAAUUGUACAGCAAUUCAGUUUAUUGUACAGCAUGCAUCAUUUUGUGUAAUCCUAUCUUUUAUUGACAGAGCCCUCACAAAUAAACUGAUAUAAAGAAUAAACAUAGAUGGUGAUGGUUACAAGGGUGCCUUCAGAAGGUGCCAUCCAGCAGUCCCAGCCUGGAGCCAGAGGCUGCUAUUGCAAAUCCGAUGGGGUAUGAUCUAUGUUGGGCAUCAGAAAGGUGGUGUAAGCAAGAGUUGCUACAGACAAUGAUACGAUUAGGUAUGAUAUCACACAGACAUACUACUGUGCAGAAGUGUAAGGUCACUUUGAAAUGUCCUCUUUAUCAAACGAAAAACAUCAGACAUAUCUUAAGUGUACCCCAAACUUUAUAUAAUUUAUAAUAUAGUGGUGUAUAUCUUGUACACAUCUGCAUUACUUCUAACUAGGUUUGAGAGGGAUCCCGUGUGCGCAGUACUGCUCCUCUGCUUUGUGAUGGUGGGACAUGUCUAACCUACAGUAUAUUACAUCCUUAUGAGAACACCAUAAGUUAUAUGGAAUAUAACUUAAUAUAACAUAAAUAACAUCUACACACUACAAGUAUUCCAGAAAUAUAUUAUUUAGGCCACCUACAUGGAUCUAUACUUAUACCGUAAAUCUUCAAAUUAUUUAUAGCCGGACCUCGGAUAAUAGCAGGUAGCGUGGUCGAUUCAGACAAAUAAAGGCUGGCCUCCAAAUACGAGCCGGGGUAAUAAUUGCAUACCAGUAGGGUUAUCAGUCCACGGGCACUAUAAGAUUCUUUCAAUUUAACUCAAUGAAAUAAAAGGGCUGUUCUUAAUAUUUAAUGUGUUACAGUGUUACAGGCUAAAACAGAUUUGUGCAUGCAUAUCUAAUAAUUAUGCGCAUUCCUUUAGUCUGAGAAUGUGCAGCAGUUUGUUGAGGUACCACCGGCGGCAGUAGAAGCAGCACCACCACAAACACCACAUUACCC